GCGGUUUCGCGGACAUGUGAAGAGACUCUAUGAGAACAACCUGCUGGAAAGGUGGUCAAAUCUAUUAAAGUCUUCAAAGAUAACCGCUGAAUGUUGCCACCAGAAGACCCUGACCACUGUGCGAGAGACUGUAACACGACAAGGCUGAAAAGGAGAUCCACUGGACUUAUUUUUCACGUAUCCCAGAGACUGCACAGAGGAUGAGGCAUGGCUUGAGGCAGAGGCGGAGGAGACUCCAGAUUCAGGUGAACGCACCCCCAACACCACACGUACAAACAUUACAAAGAAUUGUUUAACAUGGCAAAAAGCAAGUGGAUCUGAAGUUUUACCUGAAAUAUCUCUACAGGUAGCAGGCAAAAUAUCUCAUUUCUGGUUGAUUCUGGGGACGCAAAACAACAUUAUCUUCCAAAAUUGGUUGGUAUAUAUAUUUUCACUGUUGGGGCAUCAGGCACCAAAAUUAAAUAAUCAUAUACCACACCACGGUCUGUUACCAAAACAGAUGGGGAUAUAAAAUACAUGUUGACUUGAAAAUUUGUUAGGAGGACACCAAAUGUGGUCUUAGGCUUGAUUUUUACAUUGUAAACAGGAAGGGGUUUAAGUCACCAGAACAUGAGAUAUCCAUAGUGAAUAUGUACAACCAGAUCAUGGUUAGCCACUGUACCUACACCAAUGGGACCUGUUACCCACUGGGCCAAGGUAUAUAACCUCAGAUCUGCUUGAAAUAGCACACACACACACACACACUGCGUCAUGCAAGUAUCUGACUUACAUUGCACAGCAACAGUUAGUGAAGGAACAGACAUUAAAAAAAAAAACUGGUUCCAGGAAGAUUAAAGAAAGCAAUUGUAUUAGUAGUGAUUGGGUGUAUUAUGAUAAUAGAUUGUAAGCAUCGACUGUUGUGUUGACCCCACAAUAGGCAAAUCUUUAAUAUACUUAACCCAUCACCAGAUAUAUUUCUAGCUAAAGCAAAUGAUGUGCAGUGGGAAAAUUUGGCACACAUGGUCACUGAGUGUUCACAAGAUUGUAAAUGGGAGGAUAGGGGAGAAGGAAUUCAAUAUUCUUCCUCAAUGCAAACACACAGAUGCCCAUUUUCAGAGCAUUUUUAUGGGGGAAAACAAAAAUGUGUAUUUAGAACAAACCGCUAAAUUUAAACAAAAGGUUUGCAGUUUAACAAUUGACUCUUCAGAGUUACAAAAAGUGCAACAAAAUGUAUGGACUAAUGAUAAGUAUGAUCUGGGAUUAUUUUAAACUGAACAUCUCAAUGUGACACCAAAGAGCACAUAACGUUAAUGUUCGAGCGCACAUCCACUCAAUCCAGAAGCAGCAGCAGGUAUAACACCAGAAUUUUAAAACUGGUAGAAAACCGGAGUCAUCAUUCCAUGUGCACACUCACCAGUAAGAAUGCCUAUUAAAUAAAUUAAAAUAAAACAAAAAAGAGAGGAUAAUAUAAAAGAUUCUCUGGUUCCACCAGAAAGCAUGUAGUUUUUGUUUAUUUUGAAUUGUUUAUUUUGCUAAUGCAUUUUUCAGUGUCCCAGUUCAUCCACACUCUCAGUAUUGGUUUGCUUUCACAAUUCCGGAUAAAUCAUAUACGUUCAGACGUAUGUCCAAAAGUUUUGUGGAAUCCCGCGCAGUCAGGUCACGGGUUAUGCAAGUGAGUCUGGAGGACUUGGCAUUACCAGCGGUAAGCAAGUGAGUCUGGAGGACUUGGCAUUACCAGCGGUAAGCGCGCUGAUAUAAAUGUUGAUGAUUCGAUGAUUUGUUCACCAACAACACAGGCCUUUAAAGUCGACACAGUAGCAGGCUAAAAUAUCUUGCAGACCAGGGCCACGAGGCCAGCCUGGCUAAGCUGCAAUUUGUCCAGAAAAGUGUAACUUUCCUAGGACACAAAAUUUCUAGUAGCGGUAAAAACAUUGAGCUCAAACGAGUGGAAGCCAUCCUAAAGAUUCUAACACCGCGUUCUAAAAAACAAUUAAUGUAAUUUUUUUAGGGAUGACGGACUACUGUAAACAGUGGAUCUGUGAUUAUGCAUCCCUGGAGGCUCCACUCCUGUAUGUUAUGCAUGGCCAAGGACUGACACCAACCGACAACCUGACGUGAAUGACAGACGCUGACACAGCAUUUACCUAACUACAACAGACUGACUUCGACACCUACACUGGGACCACCAGAUCAAAACAGAUCAUUUACACAGACUGUAAAUGAGAAACGGGGUUUCAUGACAACAGUUUAGUGCAAACGACCAGUGGCGUAUUUCUCCUCAAAGAAAUUAGAUAGCUUGGCAUAGGGUCAGCCUCUCUGUCUAAGAGCAGAAUGAUAUCAAGAGGUCACAUUGUUAAUGCCAUAUUCUGGAUCGUCCAUUCUGCUAGAGCAGCAACCUAAUUCUAUUAACAGCCAUUUUACUCUGUAAAGUGUGAAGCUCACACUAAAGGUGAUUCUGUUUUUUCAACAGGUAAUGCUCAAGCAGAUACAGUAGCAGAGGAAGCGGCAACUAACCAACAUAUUGUCAUUGAUAUUCCUUUUUCCUUUCUCUCACAGAUUUAGCAGAAGCACAGAGCCAUGCUAACAACAUAGAGAAAGCAGAAUGUAAAUGUUUUAACAAUGUAUGUCAAUCUAAGGACGGCCGUCCAUGUGUGUUUAAAUGUUUAUUUGUUGUUUUGUUUGUUUCUGUUUUAUUGAAAAUUGUCUGGUUUCCAAAACUACUCUUUUACGUUUUAUUUCAAAAUGUUUACAUUUUCUGACAGGCAACACUACAGGAGGCCAGGACGUACAACCCCCUGGCCAACCGAUUGAUCGCUUGCAAAUGGAUUUCAUUGAACUAACACCAUGUGAAGGAAAGGAGCAUUGUCAUGUGGCUGUUGACAUAUAUUCCCUACAGGUAAAUGCAGCAAUCCCGCAACCAGCAGAGGGCCAGUUGCAUAAUUGGAAACCAGGAGACUGGGUGCUGAUAUAAGUCCGCCACUUGAGACGGAGGCCCAGGGAGAAAGUGUCGCUUCCCUCACAGACAAGGAACAAAGCAGAAGAAAGACGACAGCUCUCACUGAGGUGUAAAACCAUACCAACAACCAACAGCUGUUGCAGAUAAAGGAAGAAACGGCGAGAAAGAGACAGAAGGAACUAAAAAAAAAAAGAAAAAAAAAAAGAGAAGAAAGACCAGUACCAACUCAUCAUAAACCAACCCAACAGUAAAAUGGACAUCAUUUAUUUUAUCUUAUAAUUAUUUAACAGAGCGCACAGACCAAGUGAGUUCAAAACUGACUGUAGAAAAUAUCCAAAUUCAAGAUCAUUGUGCAUGCAAUGCUCCAACCACAUGUAGAAUUCCUAGCUCUGCCUGCUAGCUUCAAUGACACAGAAUGCUGGCCAGUAAGUAAUCCAGAAUAUACUUUUUGCGUCAUGGCAGGAAUGUGGAUAGCACCGUGGAAAACUCAAACCCAAAUAAUGUUCUUAGAAUUUAAAUCUGAAUUAUUGUUCAAAGCCUAUAUUUUCAUCUAAAUCCUCAGCCCGCAACUGCUCAGUCGCUUGGCAUCCUCUGCCAGUGCAUCCUAUGUCAAAUGUUUCUUCUGUGUACAGGAUCCUAGCCAAAUAAUUACAGCAAAUGCUUAUUUAAAUCAAACAAAAACUGUUUCUUUUAACAGACAGUCUGCACUGCCAGAGAAGGUGUAUUUAGUCUGUGGGGACCAGUGUUACAGCUGCUUACCAAGAGAAUCCCACAGUCGUUUGUUCAUGUUUUUGAUUGCCAUUUCUGUUAUCACUUGUAAGAUUGGUCUGAUAUGCAAAAAAUGCACUUAGGCCAUUGUUACCACUAUUGAAAUUGACCUCUAGCCUAUCUUAGACUGGAUUCCACCAUAUGAUGACGUUGAUAAUAUAUCACACAACUGAAGUACCCUCAAUCGUCAACUUCGGACAGAGUGGGAUUUCCCCCACCUUAUAAAGUGUUAUUGAUCCAUAAUGAUCAAAAUGACGGAUUGUAAGGGAAAUGUAACAUGUGACCAUAAUAUAAUCAUGUUUAUGUAUACUUGGAUUGAUCAUCAUUGAAUCUCUAACAAAUGUAACUUUGAUGUUGCUGUUUCCUGUAGAACUGAGUGAGUGUUGGCCUGAUUACUCCAGUCACAGUAAUCUAAUUAGUCCGGACACAGUGUGAUAGUAAUUAGCUAUUCAGGCAUUAUGAUUGAUGUAAGGAACUACUUUGAUGUUCCUUACACAAACUCACCUAACAAAGACCUUACAGCACGGGGGAUUUGUGGUGGUUGUAGACACUAAGAAGGGAU